rnacentral:lncRNA from 1 species
AAAAAAGUUGUUGUUAUUCCUUAGCCAACACAUUGUAGAAUAUAUCCGAUUUUUCAUUCCUGGACCUUUUUAUUUUGAGGGAACAUGAUGGAAUUCGUGAGCGGCGGAGCACAUAACAAUGCGGUGGGUUGGUGAGAGACCGACCCCUGACCUGUUGGCCUUGGGCAAAUAGUUUCCUAAAAAAAGGCUCACAAUACGACUAAGUUUUCAGGCUCCACGUGGUAAACAUGGCUUCAUCAUAUAAGUUUCUACGGUCGCCUAGCCCGGAGUUUUAUAAAUUUUUGGCUCUUUCAUCUUCUGUUCAUUUGCUUGAGGUUCUUCAGACAGCUCAAUGCGCUCGCGUAGCUUCUCGUUGACCUUAUUGUAUUGGUCCCAUCGAAGCAGCACCAACCUCUUAACCAUGUCACCAAUAGAGGUGUCUUGGCGCACGUCAUUCCUAACAUCUGAGACAAACAUAAAAAACAUUUAGUGGGACAUGAUAGAGCAAUGUACUUGCAAAAACAAAUACGUGGAUAAAAAGUUACCGUCUAAAUCACAGCCUAUAGGGCCAUCUUUGGGUGCCGGGAAGUGUUCGAAUGUGAGCGUGGACGCGUCAGUCCCAAGAAGGGACCCUGAUAUACAUUCACAGAUACUUGAUAUAGCGGCAAGAAAAAAUUAGAUGAAUAACAAAAUUAAAGUAAUAAUCUUACUCGAUGUAUGAUCAACCUCCAUGUUGUAGGCCUUAAGAACAGCACGGUUACACUCUGCUUGCUGGAGAUCUUCUUUGUAUAAAUUAAGUGUCUUUCCAAAAAUUCUGAGAAAAAUUAUAUCAUAACUGCUGGCAACUAUUGCUAUUUCUCGCAUUCCAUCUGGAGCAUAGCAAUCUAUCUCAGGAGGACCGACAUACAUGACCACACCCGUGACAUCUAAAAAUGGAGGUCGGUUUGAUGAUAAUCGCUGGCUAAAGAUAAUGUUUAAAGCAAGAUUAGAAUGAAAUUAGAAAUAAUACCGGUGAGCGAGCCCUCCUCCAGAUCAAGAACAUCCAUAUGCAUUAAUAAUGUGAACAUUUUUUUGUGAGUUGAUUAGAAUCAUGAUCGAUUCUGAAUUGAACAUCCAUCUACAGUACAUCGAAUCCAUUGUACUUUGAGUGACCAAAUGAUGAAAAUUCGACAGCAGGGUCUCGUGCGACAUUACCUCUGAACCGUAGGCGAUGUGAGCAGAGUGUAGUCAAAAGCCUACCUGCUUGAUGAUAGUGAGUUUCUCGAACUACAAUGUUG